rnacentral:lncRNA from 1 species
GCCGCUCCUGACCGUGAGCUCGGCUAGUAUACUAAAGUUUUUAACACUUGUACAGAGGUUGUACAUCUUAACCCAUGAGUCAUGAUUUACCCUUUCGCCCGAGGUGACCAGCCUCUUAACCCACUACCAAAGAAGGUCGGCAGGGAUCACUAUGAAGCCUUUCAAAAGUUCGUCUAACAUGUUACGGCCGCAAGGUUUUCCGGGCGAGCAGAUAUAGAGCCCCCAUUCCAAAUGGCACAAUGACACGCAGCCUAUACACAUAAGGACAGAGACUCGCACUAUACCCGUGUCGGCAAGCCCCUCUAGCGCCCUUACGAGUAACCUCUAACAAGCUAGAAAAGGUCUUCGUACUGAGCUAAAGGCAGAGCCAUUAUAGCCCUCAUGGUUGCACUAUUAUCCCAGGUGAUUACAUACAGACAAGAUCUCAUGGUUAUAUGUCAUUUUUUUAUGUUCAUUGCAUAGUCAUUAAUUACUUUAGAGGAUCAUGGAUUACCUCAAGCACUAGCAGUAACUACACCAAAUGCAUAUCAAAUAGGUUAAUAAGGAAUCUAAGGUAACAAUA